GCGAGAAGGUCUCCCCUCAGCCUCCUUUUCUCCAGGCUGACAGUCCUCUCUGUUGGGGGGUGGGUGUGUGUGUGCUAAAACCACAUGAUGCUUUCAGAAAUACUACCCAGGCCUCCAUCUCCCUCCACCCCUCGGCCUCUUUUCUCCUUUCAGUGCCAUCAAGAACAUGACCGACAGCAGCGUGUACUUCAAGAGCAUCGACAGCCUCCUCAAACACGCCAUCGCCAUGAAGGACCAGCUCAACGCCGCCCAGGGCCGCAGCGCUGUUGCCCCACAAGGCAAGAAUCCUCCAGCCAGCUCCUGAUUUCAGACAAGACUGGCCAUCCUCUGCUGCCUUUAGAGCCCAGCUCCGCGUUCUCCAGCCACGGGGAGGAGGGAGAAACCACCUGCUCAAUCUGUGAAGCUGCUCAGAGGCCUCUGCCUUCCCCGUAACAAGGUGCUGCACCUGAGCAGGAGAAUCCUGCCACCGGGGUCAGGACUUUUCGGGGUGCUUUGGGGAGCUCAGUCGUGUCCCUUCCCACAGCACUCUGCAACAGGGAAAGAGGGUAGUGUGUUUGUCCUUCCCAGUUUUUUUUUUUUCCAAUGGCAGACUGUUAUGAGGCAUUUUUUUUUCUCUCUACCUCUUGGCCACAGAAGUAUCUCAGAAAAAACUAGGUCUGGCUUUCAGUAUUUUGUAGAUGGCUGUAGAUGUAAUGCAGGCACAUUUGGGCUUUGUUGAGGAGGCAUUCUGCGAGGAGAGUUUUUCAUGUGUGUGCCAGGGAGUUGCUGAAUUUGGUCUUAAGUGGGAACAAUAAUAAAAAGAGGAAAAAAAAAAAAAA